GUGUUACAUGAAAGGAGAGAAGGUUAGCAUUCCCCUUGACAAGGACGGAAUAGUCUCUGGGCCUAAAGACAUACGGUUAAGGCACUGCCGCCUACUCUGCGGCAACAUAACCAAAUUUUUCG
rnacentral:ncRNA from 1 species